AUGUACGGGCAUGGGAUCGAGGGGUUGGGUUUCUUCCAUAUUGAGCUUCCCGACGUUGCUCCACCCACCCCCUCCCUCCAGGCGAUUGUGACGGUGGUAGAUGGUGUGGCCUCGCCCGAGAUGAUCGAGGCCGAGCUCAACCAGCUAUACCACCGUCAGUGGGACUAGCAGGUCACCCCGACCUCCGGGACCUAGUUCUUCGUGAUCUUCCCCGACGCUCUCAGCCACGGCUACACUACACGCAGUGAUCAGAUCACCCUUGCCCUCAACAAGAUCAUCGUCGACAUCUCCGAGCCGAUUCUGGACGCAAAGGCGGUGGUUGUCCUUGACACGGCUAGGAUCCUCAUCGCCGGUCUCCCGGACGUUGCGCGAUCUGAGCACGUCAUCCGCCAG
rnacentral:rRNA from 1 species